rnacentral:rRNA from 1 species
CAGUCGCCGCGGGAAUACGUAGGUGGCAAGCGUUGUCCGGAAUUAUUGGGCGUAAAGGGCUCGCAGGCGGUUUCUUAAGUCUGAUGUGAAAGCCCCCGGCUCAACCGGGGAGGGUCAUUGGAAACUGGGAAACUUGAGUGCAGAAGAGGAGAGUGGAAUUCCACGUGUAGCGGCGAAAUGCGUAGAGAUGUGGAGGAACACCAGUGGCGAAGGCGACUCUCUGGUCUGUAACUGACGCUGAGGAGCGAAAGCGUGGGGAGCGAACAGGAUUAGAUACCCCGGUAGUCCCUGUCUCUAUACA